rnacentral:miRNA from 2 species
AUCUGCUGUUCUUAAUAUUCUGA